AAACAGACCCAUACAGAAACCUAAUCUAAAUAUAACAACUUUACUAUAUUUACAUAUACCCGAAACCACAUGAUCUAUCCAUGAGCAGGUUGAAGCUUAGGUAAAACUAAGUGGAGGACCGAACCGUAGUACGCUAAAAAGUGCCCGGAUGACUUGUGGAUAGCGGUGAAAUUCCAAUCGAACCUGGAGAUAGCUGGUUCUCUUCGAAAUAGCUUUAGGGCUAGCGUAUAGUAUUGUUU
rnacentral:rRNA from 1 species